GGCUCUUUGUUGUAAUAUAGUAUAAAGAGUUGAACCUGCCCAAUGAAUUUUAUUUAAUGGCCGCGGUACUCUGACCGUGCAAAGGUAGCAUAAUCACUUGUUUAUUAACUGUAGACUGGAAUGAAUGGUCUGACGAGGGGUAGACUGUCUUUUAUUAGUUUUUUAGAAUUUAAUUUUUAAGUUAAAAAGCUUAAAUUUAAUUAGUAGACGAGAAGACCCUGAUGAGCUUUAACUUUAGCUUGGUAAUCUUGUUAGACGUGUUGGUUGGGGCGACUGAGGAACAAAAAGAGCUUCCUUUAUACAUACUAGGAUCCGAUAGAUAUCGAUAUAAGGGAAUAGCUACCACAGGGAUAACAGCAUAAUUUUUCUAGAGAGCUCCUAUCGAAAGAAAAGCUUGUGACCUCGAUGUUGGACUAGAGUAUCCGGGGGGUGCAGCAGCUCCCAAAGGGUGGUCUGUUCGACCAUUAAAACUCU
rnacentral:rRNA from 1 species